CUCUUCUCUUCCACAGGCCUGGUCACACUCUUCUGUCCCUCCCUCCUCCUAACAAAACUCUGCUCCGAUAAUUGGUUUUGUCAUGCCUCGUGAUUUCUCCUGGCAGAGCAAAAGCGGCUCGUUAAAACCAGCAUAAACCCCUCCUUUAGCCCCCUUAAGUAUGGCAUGUUUGGCUCCAAGGCUGCUAUCCUUCUGCUAUCAGUAAGAAUAAAUUUAUUUAAUAUAAAUUUGAAUAGAGUCUUAGUCUUUGGUCUUUCUCAGUGGAUUAAAACUUUCACGGUGUGGCCUUGUUGGAGGAGGUAUAUCUCUGGCAAUGGCUUUGAGUUUCUCUCUCUGCCUGCUGCCUACAUGUCAUGACGCAGCUCUCAGCUACGACCCCAGAGCCGUGAUGAUCAUGGACUGACCCUCUGAAACGUCUCCAGCUCACGCUCCCAACACAGUGGCUGCUCAUCACAUCCCUGCUGAAGACUCUCCUUCAUGGCCAAUCAGGAUGCUGUCCUUAAUGCCUAGCAUAGGGUGUGACACCUCAUGGGCAUUCACUGUCUACUUCGUGAGUAAAUAAAUGAAUGAGUGAAUUCUAAAAUGAACAAACAUUUAUGGAGUACCUCAGCUAUUCCCAAAGUCCUCAAAACUACCCUAUAAGAGUCUCUGGGUGAUCCAGUCGUGGAGAACACUGCCCUCUGUGAACUCACAUCUGCGAUCAGGCCAUCCCUGCUGCUUCCAGAAUAUUUGGGCAUCUGGUGAAAACAUUGUGGCUGCCUCAAAGAUCUCCAGGAGAUGCUGAUGCACAGAAGGGCUGGGGAACCUUGCAAGAAAUGUCCCUGGAAGUCCAAGGCGGUGGUGAGCCCUCUCUUUCCACACCUGGGAGGGCUUUCCCAGCAGUCUGACAGCAACACACCUUGGAGAGAGACCAGCUGAUGGAGCCAAGGCAUUGGCUUACCAGUGGUCACUGACCAUGGUGCUGUGGAGACCAGCCAGUGCCCUGCUCUAAGUUCUUCUGUGUUGGGUAAAACUGCCUUGCCCGAGAGACUUCAUUUUACAGGCAACAUUUGACUCCACUGUGAGAAUGGUGAGUGACCGUUCAUCUUGUCGGACACAUAAUCAACACCGUUUGUCCCGUACCACCUGAGAUGUGCAGACUGCUAAGUAGUUUAUUCCUGAAAGGAGGAAUGAUGUCAUCCUGUAGCAGGAAUCUUAAAAGUUCUUAUUAAUAAAAACAAACCUGA